rnacentral:rRNA from 1 species
UACAGAGGUGGCAAGCGUUGUUCGGAAUUACUGGGCGUAAAGCGCGUGUAGGCGGCUCUUCAAGUCAGGCGUGAAAGCCCCGGGCUCAACUCGGGAACUGCGCUUGAUACUGUCGAGCUAGAGUGUGGAAGGGGCGAUUGGAAUUCCCGGUGUAGCGGUGGAAUGCGUAGAGAUCGGGAAGAACAUCAGUGGCGAAGGCGGCCUGCUGGGCUGUUGCUGACGCUGAGGCGCGAAAGCGUGGGGAGCAAACAGG